rnacentral:lncRNA from 1 species
GAAACUAGAACACACCCGUGAUAUCGCGGGUCCGUGACUGAAUUAAAGUAUAUAACUAUGCGCAAGCCUUAUUUUAGUAUUAGUACUGUCAGUACUGAUAAAGUCAUGCCGAUUAUAAGAUACACAAUUUUCUCUGCUUUCAAAUCUUUCUGUUUGAACCCGUCGAACUGGAACUUAUCAAUUAUUGGUAAUAUUAAUUAUUUGGAAAACAAAAGGUCCUGGAAUGGAGUAUUUUUUAAUCAACAGCAUUGUCCUGUAUUAGUUAUAAAUAAAGUUGAAUUCUUUGAUUCGCUGUUUUACGUCAUGCCCGCUAACAAAUUGAAACUUAUUUUUAGUCCAGAUUUUUAGUAUUCGUAUUGUUAUCUUAGAAAGUCUUACGGAUUAAAAUACUACAAUAUGUAACAAUUUGACAAUUUAGUAGUGUCAACCCUGUGAUUAUGACCCGUGUAUAUAGCAUAUUAAUCCUGAAUACACCGUUUG